rnacentral:rRNA from 1 species
UGAGAAGCUUGCUUCUCUGAUGUUAGCGGCGGACGGGUGAGUAACACGUGGGUAACCUACCUAUAAGACUGGGAUAACUCCGGGAAACCGGGGCUAAUACCGGAUAAUAUUUUGAACCGCAUGGUUCGAUAGUGAAAGACGGUUUCGGCUGUCACUUAUAGAUGGACCCGCGCCGUAUUAGCUAGUUGGUAAGGUAACGGCUUACCAAGGCGACGAUAC